rnacentral:sRNA from 1 species
GGUGAUCCACCUAGGCAGUGGUAUUUACAACUAAUUGAUCACAACCAGUUACAGAUUUCUUUGUUCCUUCUCCACUCCCACUACUUCCCUUGAACAGCCAUGC